ACUGCUUUUGCUGCAUCCCAUAGGUUUUGGGUAGCCGUGUUUUCAUUGUCAUGUGUUUCUAGGUAGUUUUUGAAUUCCUCUUUGAUUUCUUCAGUGAUCUCUUGGUUGAUUAGUAGUGUACUGUUCAGUCUCCAUAGCGUUUGUAUUAUUUACAGAU